rnacentral:rRNA from 1 species
UACGUAGGGUGCAAGCGUUGUCCGGAAUUAUUGGGCGUAAAGGGCUCGUAGGCGGUCCAUCGCGUCGGGAGUGAAAAGCUGGGGCUCAACCCCAGUCCUGCUUUCCGAUACGGGUGGACUAGAGGUAUGCAGGGGAGAACGGAAUUCCUGGUGUAGCGGUGAAAUGCGUAGAUAUCAGGAGGAACACCGGUGGUGUAGACGGCUUACUGGACCACGACUGACACUGAGGCACGAAAGCGUGGGUAGCAAACAGG